CGCUGGCCAGGUGGUAGCUGUUUCAGACAUCCCAGCCGAGGUGCCUGACACGGGAGUGAAGCCAUCUUGGAUUUCCAGCCCCAGCUGAGCCUCCUGUGGGGAGGUGUGAGUGCAUGAGUGACCACAGGUGAGACCAGCAAAGAACCACUCACCUGAGCCCAGCCCAGAUUGCAGAACUGUGAGCAAAUACAUGGUUGUUAUUCAAGUAAAGCUCACUAAAGCUUUCAAUGACAAGUGGGCAUAGUCCUUAUGGCCACUUCUUGGGAUGGUUUGUUAUCCUGCAGUAGAGAACUGAGACAGAGGAAAGAGAAUUCACAGUGACUGACCCCCGCUGUGCUCCGGACCCUAUCGGGGUGCUGUGCGUGUGCUGGCUCAUCUGCUCCUCACAACCACCUGGGCUGUGGUCCCUCCUUACGGGAGAGGCUACUACAGUUCUGUGGUGAGGGAUUGGCCCCACUGCUCCACAGUCACUAAGUGGCAGAGGCAGGAUUUCAACCUGAGUCCGACUGAUUCCACGACCCACAUAAUAUCCCUACAAUGAAACAAGGAAGGAUCCCCAGAAGGUGCAGGGACCUCAGAGACUACUAAGUAGGGAUCUGAUGCAGUCUUUCCCAAGUGUCCUCACAAAUCCCACAGAGGAACUGUCAGACAGGGAAAUGAGUCUGGUGAGAAAGAUCCCUAAUGGGCACCGUCACGUCACAGCUCAAUCAUCUUCUCCCAUAAUUCCUAUGAUCCUGGGUGACCUAGAGGUAUCCUACAAGGAGGCUUACUCUGGUUUUCUGAUAGGCAUGACACUAAGAAAAUCUGAUGUGGUUAGCUCCGGGCAGUCACCACUUCUUUAUAUGUGGAUUAUCCCCCAACGAACGUCCGGCAUCUGCGGUCAUCCGGGAAUGCGUCCAGGCAAUGAUCUAGCGCUCAGAAGGAACAAGAGCUAAUUUCAACGGGAGUCUCUACCACCUGGACUGAAGACUGACUUGGAUCUCGGGGCCAACAGAACUUUGUUCCAAGUUCCAAGGCCAUCGUUGGAAUCAGUGGGUCAUCAACAGCGCACUAGAGGGCACUGAGCUAAAGGUCCCUGCACAUAUGGAAGCGCACAGGGGCACGGUUUGGGAUUAUUGGGAGAAUGCAUGAGUCAAUGGCUACGGAAAAUGCUGCACACCUACUCUGUGAAGAGGGAAGCGCCAAGAACAACUGCCACUUUCAUUUGGGGUCAGGAUUCUUGAUUCCUGCUGUCUGUUGACGUCUAUAAUCUUGGUGUUAUGCUUACAAGGGAGAGCCUCAAGCAGUAUUAAGUAUAUUAUUUUAAGAAUGAUGUGGCUUCUGGCAUCAUAUUUUGAAAAUCAAAGAUUGUAAUUUUAGGGAUAAUGGAAUACUCAAAAGGGAGUAUUCUGUAAAACUGAGGGCGUAUGGUCAGCAGAGAGAUAUUCUUUACAAAUACUGGACUACGAAUUAGGAGACGACCUCAAGUCCCUCCUCCGUCAGUGAUCUUGAGCCAUUGUGGCAACACAUUCUGGGCCUUGUUCCCCCCCCAUCUGUAAAAUGGGGGUGUUUGACUCAUUGUUUCUUAACUGGGGUGAAUUCUGGAGUCACCUGGGAAGAUCCCCAAAGGCAGAAUUCUGGUUUUGUUUCUUGUUGUGUUUCUAAGGCAUAGAAAAGUACUUGGCACAGGGUAAAUACUCAAUAAAUAUUUUUUUAAUGAAGAAAUAAAACUUUUAAAAAAUUCACAGAGCAGGAUCCAGUCCAGAAUGCUCACAUCGUAUGGGCUAGAAACUGUACAUACAUUUUGUAAAAGCCCUCUGGAUCAUUUUGCCAAGCACUCUGGGCUUAAGAACCACUAAACCCAACAAUCCCCAAGGUUCCUUCCCUGAAGAAUUGUCAGAUUUAGCAAAGAAAAAUGUAAGACAUCCAGUUAAAUUUGAAUUUCAGAUAAACAAUGAAAAUGUUUUAGUGUAAAUAUGUACCAUGCUCUAUUUGGUUGUCGCAAAACUUGUAGAAAGAUGACUAGGUAAGGCUUCUGCUUAGGCUGAUGGUUAGAGGCAGAGGGUGGCACCUUGAAACUGGCCCAGAUUUGGGAAUCAGACAGAUAAUCUUGGUCUGAGUCUCUGCCCUGAUUGUGUGAUCUGAACAAAUUGCUCAACUUCACUGGGCUUCGUAACUCGAGUGUCUAUCCUGUAGAGCUGCUGAAAGUAUUGGAGAUAUUACAGGAAUGAUGGUAGCAGGUAUCUGAUAACGUUUAGCUGUUUUUACUGUUGGUUUGAAGAAAGAAACUCAGUAUCAAUGAGACCUUUGUUGAAACACUGUCAACUAGCAAACUGGCAUUCUGAAAUGACCAAGAUUAUAGAUAAUAGUUCUGGGCAGACCUGGGCAAAGUUAGAGGGAACGCUGAUCUUCUUUAGAACAAUACCUCUAUGUGUGGGGGAACAAAACAUACUAAAAAUUAAUAGAUUAUCCAGAAUAAAUAAAGGAAGGAAGUUCUUUCGUUUCAUUCAUUAUAAAAUGUCAUUUGCUCAACUGACUUUUUCUAAUGUCAAAGGUAAACAUUUGUUCAGGUUUUACAGGGUCACUAUACAGAGGGAUAGACUAUUAUUUGGGCAGUGGAAGUACUUCAAUCCUAACCUUGUUUCCCUCUCUUCUAGGUUAAAGACACAGUCUGUUUCUAGAGCUUCUGUUGUUUCUAGAAAUUUCUAACGCAUUUCUUCUGUUUAAAAAAUACACAUGCAACAAAUAUGAAAUAUUCAUUAAAAGGAAACGGUUCUCUCUAGAAAAAUCUAUUUGGACAAAAAUCUUUAGAUAAUUUCAUUAUCAAAUGUGAAGAGCUACGGGUGGAAAAUAAAUUGACCAUUACAUUUUCAACUGAGCUACUCGGAUAUCAACUGCAUACUUUAAGCCCCCUGUUGUUAUUUUGUUGUCUAUCCACCACAUAUUUAUUGUUGAGCCUGUAUUAUAUACUGGAGACUGUUCUAAGUGCUUGGGAUCCUUAGUGAACAAAACAGACCCAAAUCCUUGCCUCUGUGGAGCUUGUCUUCUGGGAUAGAGAGAGAAACAGAAGCAUCCUAGAUAAGUGAGUUAAGUAGGAUACAGAUGGCGCAAUCUGUUGGUGAUGGAAGGAGCCAUGCUGAUCUGGGGGAUGAGAACAGGGGCGUCAAGCACAAAUGACCUAAGGCAGGAGCCUGCCUGGAGUGUUCCAAGAAUAGCAAGGAGGCCAAUGUGGCUGCAGUGGAGAGAGGACAGAGGGAGUAGGAGGAGAGAAGACCAAGUAACUAUUAUCCUAAUCAUGAUAAAGGACUCCACGAAUCUAACUUCCAGUUUUGAGUUUUAGUUUACUUACUCUGUGACUACAGGGAGAUCCUGAACUGCUUACCUGGAAUGGUGGUCCUUAACUUGUAAAACAUGGGUAGGUUAGAGAUUUACUUCACAAAACUAUGACUAGAGGGAAUCAGUAUAUAGCUUAGUGAUGAUGUAUGUGCUUUAAUGGAUGGAUCUGAGUUCACAGUCUGACUUCCUUACUUGCUAGAGGUGUGCCCUUGGGCAAGUUCCUUCAACUCUCUGUGCUUCAAGUUCCAUCUCUAUGAAAUAAGGCAACUAAAAGUACCCCCUUUCAAACUGUGAGGGUUAGAGGAGAGGGUCUGUGUAAAAUGCUUAGCACAGAGCUUGGCACAUAGAAAGUACUAAAUAAAUAUCAUCAUUAUUUCUUGAAAAGUAUAAUUAGGAGGAUUAGGUACUCUGAAAUAUCUAUUUAAUAUUUAAUAUCAAAACAUGUUUUCAGUAAAAAUGUCUUAUUAUUGUUAUUACUAGUGGUAGCGAGCCUCCAAGAUGAUCCCCAAUGAUCCCUGUCUCUGAGUAUUCACACCCUUGUAUAGUCCCCUCCCACAUUGUACCAGGAUUGGUCUAUGUGACCAUAGAAUAUGGCAGAAGUGAUGGUAUGUCACUUUUGAGAUUAAGUUAUAAAAGACAUUGUGGCUACCAUCUUAGUCAUUCAUUCUCUCUCUCAAUCAUCACUUGUUCUGGGGGAAGCCAGCUGCCAUGUCAUGAGCAGCCCUAGGGAGAGGUAUCCCUUAUGGAGAAGUCCACGUGACAAAGAACUGAGGCUUUUUGCCAACACCAUGUGCGUUAGGGCCUUCUUGGAAGUGAACCCACUAGCCUUGGUCAAGUCUUCAGAUGAAAGCAGCCCUCACUGACGUCUCGACUGCCGCUUCAUGAGACCCUGAGGCAGAACUAUGCAGCUAAGCAGAUCCCAGAUUCCUGCCCCUCAGAAACUGAGAUGAUAAAUGUUUGUUGUCUCAAACUUCUAAGUUUUGGGGUAAUU
rnacentral:lncRNA from 1 species